rnacentral:misc_RNA from 1 species
ACUAACUAGUCUAUGGUCCGUGACUGUGCGAGCCAGAUAUGGACUCCAAGUCACUCCAGAGGAUAGACAUCGUCUUUUUUACCUUCAUCUUCUCACAGACUGCCUCAGAGAGCAGUGUAUACUAACUGUUUUAAUCUCCAACACCAAGAGUUAAUUUGGCUCAAACUUAUUUGUAUGGAAAUCCUCGUCCCAAUUUCAAAUAGGAAUGAAAAAAUACCAAUCUUACAAUAUCCUACUUGAUUUGUUUUAUUGUUAUUUAUCAUUUAGUUUGAUUAAAAUUAAAAAUGCAUAUGAUGUACAAAGCAUUUCAAGAUCGAGUGGAAGAUGAUCAGAACUUGGAUGUACACAAUAAGUUCACAUCAAGUCCUACCAAAACCAUCUUGGGUGCCUUAACUCCUCGAUCAGUCUCUAGAGAUCUAAUCAUUCCAAAAAAAAAUAUGAGCCUCAUACAAGACUAUAAAACCAGCAUUCCCGAACAUAUUGAAGAAAUACCGUUCCGAAGACAGGAUAAACGUAUACUUUAUGCAAGAAAGAAAAGAGUUGUAGACCGUAAGCUCAUCAUACUUUUGAAUGCCAUAGGACUGUUUAUUUAAUUAUGGGCCUAGUUUUCUUUGUACUUUACUUUGUAUUUAAUAGAGAAAAUAAACGUACAAGAAUAUUUGUUGUUCUUGGACCCGUACUCGCUGUGAUAGGUAUAGUUGUGAUGAUGUUCUCAAUUGAAGUGUGUAUUCGCCUAUGGAGAAAUAAGAAAAGAGAAAAAGAUCCAGAGAUUGAUGAUGUUGAAAAUAUUCAUCAUAUUAAACAUUGGAUCCAUCCUGGAUAUAGUUAUGUGUGUAUAAAAUGUCUCUUUUAGAGCUGAUUCCAUUUGGAUGGGGUCAUCGCGAUAGUCUUUGGGAAAGCUCCAUCAAUGAUGCAGACGAUAUACAGAUUGAUUUGACAGAAGAGUCUAGUAAUCAGGAGAGCAAUUUAGUCAAAGUCCUUGCUCAGACUGAUAUAUCUUCCGAUAUUUUCGAUGAGUCCCUUCGGUAUAAUGGUAUUGAUCGACCCACUCUCUCAAUAAACCCUUCAGUCCAAUCGAGCAAAUCUGUGGGGAAUUCCAGGAUCCAGAAGAAAAAGUCAAAAACAUUUUUAUGAACCAGACUUGA